AGAAAGAGGGCCUCUCUUUGAAGCUUUCGCUACUAGAUGAGCAUGCGUAAGAUUAGCUUGUUGGUGAGGUAAAGGCUCACCAAGGCGACGAUCUUUAGCGGGUCUGAGAGGACGAUCCGCCACAUUGGGACUGAGACACGGCCCAGACUCCUACGGGAGGCAGCAGUGGGGAAUAUUGGACAAUGGGCGCAAGCCUGAUCCAGCCAUACCGCGUGUGUGAAGAAGGCCCUAGGGUUGUAAAGCACUUUAAGUUGGGAAGAAAAGUUAUUGGUUAAUACCCAAUAACCGUGACAUUACCAUCAGAAUAAGGACCGGCUAAUUCCGUGCCAGCAGCCGCGGUAAUACGGAAGGUCCAAGCGUUAAUCGGAAUUACUGGGCGUAAAGCGCGCGUAGGUGGUUUAUUAAGUUGGAUGUGAAAUCCCCGGGCUCAACCUGGGAACUGCAUCCAAAACUGAUUCACUAGAGUACGAUAGAGGGAGGUAGAAUUCACAGUGUAGCGGUGGAAUGCGUAGAUAUUGUGAAGAAUACCAAUGGCGAAGGCAGCCUCCUGGAUCUGUACUGACACUGAGGUGCGAAAGCGUGGGUAGCGAACAGGAUUAGAUACCCUGGUAGUCCACGCCGUAAACGAUGUCAACUAGCUGUUGGAAAACUAUGUUUUUCAGUGGCGCAGCUAACGUAGUAAGUUGACCGCCUGGGGAGUACGGCCGCAAGGCUAAAACUCAAAUGAAUUGACGGGGACCCGCACAAGCGGUGGAGCAUGUGGUUUAAUUCGAUGCAACGCGAAAAACCUUACCUAUACUUGACAUACUUGGAAUGCUUUGUAAUGAAGCAGUGCCUUCGGGAGCCAAGAUACAGGUGCUGCAUGGCUGUCGUCAGCUCGUGUCGUGAGAUGUUCCGUUAAGUCGGAUAACGAGCGCAACCCUUACCCUUAUUUGCCAGCGAUUCGGUCGGGAACUAUAAGGGGA
rnacentral:rRNA from 1 species